rnacentral:rRNA from 1 species
UUAUCCUACGGGACGCAGCAGUGAGGAAUAUUGGUCAAUGGGCUUACGCCUGAACCAGCCAAGUCGCGUGAGGGAAGACUGCCCUAUGGGUUGUAAACCUCUUUUGUCAGGGAGCAACGCCGGCUACGUGUAGCCGGACUGAGAGUACCUGAAGAAAAAGCAUCGGCUAACUCCGUGCCAGCAGCCGCGGUAAUACGGAGGAUGCGAGCGUUAUCCGGAUUUAUUGGGUUUAAAGGGAGCGUAGACGGUGAGACAAGUCUGAAGUGAAAGCCCGGGGCUCAACCCCGGGACUGCUUUGGAAACUG